GAUCUGUGGCAGGAGGAGUGUGCUUAGCAUUUGCUGAUGAGGUGUUAUGCUGGCUUUAUGGGACAGUGAAAGAAAAUGAGGACUAUAUAUUGCAGUUUGCCCAUCCGUUCACGCGAUUGGAGCUUCUUCAAGCUCAAACAUGCCCCAAUUCCAUCACAGAGCAUGUUCAACAAUUGUAGCUUCGCAAAGCUCAGUCACUCUGCCUAACCGGAAUCAUCUACUAUUAUACAAUUUCGAACAUUGUAUCAUAUGUGAACCUUUUGGGAAUCAAGACUUUCCAACUGGGAGGGUCCCCUUUAAAUUAAAUUAUCAUCCUCAUAAUCUCUUAUGCUGUCCCAGCUUCCAGAGAGAUCGAAUCAUCUCUGAGUUUACUACAUAUAAUAAUUAUUUUAUCGAGGAA